GACACUUUGAUCAACUGAAGUUGUAUCAAGUUUUGGCAUAAACAUGAAAAUGGUUACUUUAGUUUUCUUGUUUAGUCUCUUCUUAGUUUAUUUUAUAAGAGAAUCCAAGGCAGCUUCUCAAGCAGAAAGCCAUGGCGUUUACAUUGUUUACAUGGGUUCAUCAAAUAAUGUCGCAAGAGAUGAUCAAAUUCAGCUUAUGAGCUCCCUCACAACAAGGAGAAAGAACGCAGUGGUGCACAGCUACAGAAAUAGUUUCUCAGGAUUUGCAGCACGUUUAUCAGAUGCUGAAGCUCAGUUGAUUGCUCAGCAACCCGGAGUUAUCUCUGUUUUCCCUGAUCCAGUAUUUCAACUCCACACAACGCGGUCAUGGGAGUUUCUAACGGAUCAAUAUGAUCUGGUACACAGUUUCCCUAACAGUUCUGGUUCAAGCUCAACCUCAAAUGGAGCAGACACCAUAAUUGGGAUUUUUGACACUGGAAUAUGGCCUGAAUCAGAGAGUUUCAAUGACAAGGGUAUGGGUCCAGUCCCAUCCCGUUGGAAAGGCACUUGCACCAAAGGUUAUGAUUUCAAUUCCUCCAACUGCAACAGGAAACUGAUCGGCACAAGGUUUUACGAUGACCCUGGCAACUCUCCAACACCUGUUACAGGGACACCUAGGGACCAUGACGGGCAUGGUACUCACGUUGCAGCCAAUGCAGCAGGGAGUCCAGUGGCAGGUGCAUCCUAUUACGGGUUAGCAGCAGGAACAGCCAAGGGAGGUUCUCCAGGGUCAAGGAUUGCAGUGUACCGUAUAUGCACGCCUUCUGGAUGCAGUGGAUCAGCUAUUAUGAAAGCAUUUGAUGAUGCCAUUGCAGAUGGGGUUGAUAUCAUAAACUUAUCAAUUGGUCAACCAGCUGGAACAGAGUUUGAGUAUUCAACAAAUCCUAUUGCCAUUGGAGCUUUCCAUGCUGUAGAGAAGGGCAUUUUUGUCGUCGCCUCUGCUGGAAAUGAUGGCCCUUUACGAGAAACUGUUGUCAAUGUUGCUCCUUGGAUUUUCACAGUUGCUGCUACAACUAUUGACAGAAACAUUGAGACACAUAUUCCCUUGGGCGGGAACAAGCUGAUUAAGGUGGAGGUAUUAGCUUUAGUAAUCUCAAGAAAUCUCCAGUUUAUCAACUGGUGGACAGCAAAUUUCAUUAACUGUGAACCAGAUACACUCGACGAACACAAAGUCAAGGGUAAAAUUGUUCUUUGUGAUCAUCUCACUGAUGAUUAUUCAAUCGAAGAUAGGCUAAAUGAAGUGAAGAACAAGGGCGGCAUUGGAUUUAUAUUAAUUAUUCCUGAUGAUGAACUCAUAGUGGCACCCAACAUGGGAUCCUUCCCAGGGGCAGUAGUCACUCAACAUGAUGGCGUGAAGAUUCUUUCGUACCUCAACUCGACAAGGAACCCAGUGGCAACAAUUCUGCCAACUGUAAGUGUAGAUAAUUUCAAACCAGCUCCAGUUGUGGCUUUCUUCUCAUCAAGAGGCCCUGCAUACAACACUCGAAACCUCCUAAAACCGGAUAUUGCAGCACCAGGGACUGCAAUACUUGCAGCUUGGCCAGCAAAUGACACAGAAGUGGCUCAGCCUGGCCAAGAACCACCACUAUUCAACUUCGUCUCAGGGACUUCUGUGUCUUGUCCUCAUGUUUCUGCUAUUGUUGCAACACUGAAAUCUCAAAAUCCCACCUGGAGUCCUUCAGCAAUCAGAUCAGCUAUAAUGACCACAGCUUUUCAGGAAAGCAACUUGAAGACUCCAAUGUUAGUCAACAGUGCUUAUGGAGAAUACCUUGCCAACCCAUAUGACUUUGGUGCAGGAGUAGCAACUAUGUCAGGGCCACGGGAACCAGGCCUGGUUUUUAUGAGACUGAGAUCACAGACUACUUGUUAUUCCUCUGCUCUGCUGGUUAUAACACAUCAACAGUUAAACUCAUCUCAAAGACUGUUCCAGACAGUUUUUCAUGCUCCACCAACUCAAGUGCUGAAUCAAUGUCUAACAUGAACUACCCAUCAAUAGCUGUUUCUAUGCCCGAGGAAAGAGAAACCAAGCAAGUUACCAGAACUCUAACUAACUUUGGUGAAGAAGAAACAGAAUACACGGCAAUCAUAACAGCACCAGAUGCAUUGAGAGUCCGAGUGCAUCCAGGCAAAUUGAAAUUUACAAGUAGCACGAAGAAACUGAGCUUUCAAGUGACUUUCAAAGCAACAUCUAGAGAGAGAGAAUAUUUUGGAUCAAUUACAUGGACCAAUGGUAAGUACAAGGUUCGAAGUCCAUUCGUUGUCUCCUAUUGGUAACAUUAUCAAGCAUCUGCUACUUAACCAGUUCGACAAAUGGGUUUAUGCAAUGCAAUGCAUGCAUGAACGUUGUGUCAAAAAUUUAUUUGUAACUCAUAUGAAUCAUGAAUAAAAGGUUCUCAAUAGAGAAACUGUAUCUAUCUCA